UGCAGUACCUUGAGCUCCAUAGAGACAGCACAGGGGCAAGUGAGAGCCGGACAGGCACCGAGCGACUCUGUGCCUCGCGGAGGAAAAACUAAACAUGGGCAAAGGAGAUCCUAAGAAGCCGAGAGGCAAAAUGUCAUCAUAUGCAUUCUUUGUGCAAACUUGCUGGGAGGAGCACAAGAAGAAGCACCCGGAUGCUUCCGUCAACUUCUCAGAGUUUUCUAAGAAGUGUUCAGAGAGGUGGAAGACUAUGUCUGCUAAAGAGAAAGGGAAAUUUGAAGAUAUGGCCAAGGCAGACAAGGCCCGUUAUGAAAGAGAAAUGAAAACCUACAUCCCUCCUAAAUGGGAAACAAAAAAGAAGUUCAAGGAUCCCAAUGCACCCAAGUGGCCUCUUUCGGCCUUCUUCUUGUUCUGAGUAUCGCCCUAAAAUCAAAGGGGAACAUCCUGGCCUGUCUAUUGGUGAUGUUGCAAAAAAACUGGGAGAGAUGUGGAACAACACUGCUGCAGAUGACAAGCAGCCUUAUGAAAAGAAGGCUGCGAAGCUGAAGGAAAAAUAUGAAAAGGAUAUUGCUGCCUACCGAGCUAAAGGAAAGCUUGAUGCAGCAAAAAAAGGAGUUGUGAAGGCUGAAAAGAGCAAGAAGAAGAAGGAAGAGGAGGAAGAUGAGGAAGAUGAAGAGGACGAAGAAGAGGAGGAAGAUGAAGAGGAUGAGGAUGAAGAUGAAGAGGAUGAUGAUGAAUAAGUUGGUUCUAGCGCAGUUUUUUUUCUUGUCUAUAAAGCAUUUAACCCCCCUGUACACAACUCACUCCUUUUAAAGAAAAAAAAAAUUGAAAUGUAAGGCUGUGUAAGAUUUGUUUUUAAACUGUACAGUGUCUUUUUUUGUAUAGUUAACACACUACCGAAUGUGUCUUUAGAUAGCCCUGUCCUGGUGGUAUUUUCAAUAGCCACUAACCUUGCCUGGUACAGUAUGGGGGUUGUAAAUUGGCAUGGAAAUUUAAAGCAGGCUCUUGUUGGUGCACAGCACAAAUUAGUUAUAUAUGGGGACGGUAGUUUUUUCAUCUUCAGUUGUCUGACGCAGCUUAUACGAAAUAAUUGUUCUGUUAACUGAAUACCACUCUGUAAUUGCAAAAAAAAAA